GACGAACGCUGGCGGCGUGCUUAACACAUGCAAGUCGAGCGGUAAGGCCCUUUCGGGGGUACACGAGCGGCGAACGGGUGAGUAACACGUGGGUGACCUGCCCUCAGCUCUGGGAUAAGCCUGGGAAACCGGGUCUAAUACCGGAUAUGACUCCAUGACGCAUGUUGUGGGGUGGAAAGCCUUGUGCGGCUGAGGAUGGGCCCGCGGCCUAUCAGCUUGUUGGGUGGGGUGANGGCCUACCAAGGCGACGACGGGUAGCCGGCCUGAGAGGGCGACCGGCCACACUGGGACUGAGACACGGCCCAGACUCCGUACGGGAGGCAGCAGGUGGGGAAUAUUGCGCAAUGGGACGGAAGCCUGACGCAGCGACGCCGCGUGGGGAUGACGGCCUCGGUU
rnacentral:rRNA from 1 species